CAGGAGUGAAAUAUUUCUAAAAACAAAAUAGAAGUAUAAUUAGUUCAACCUAAAAACUACUGUGCAAAAGGGGCUUUCAGCGGGUGUCAUCAUCCUCAGAUUGGUGCGACAGAUCCACGCAAUCGAGUCAAGCCAGUCAUAAGUCAUAACCCAUGGCCAUUAUCGAGGCGUAGCUGAGUUGGGGUAGUCGAAUAGAUCUGGCCUUUGCUUAUUCGGAUAUCAUCCUCUUCUCCCCUUUGCAUAUUCUUAUUUUUCAUUUGAUUUGCGCGUGCAUGCAUGAGGUCUCGUCUCAUCUCUGCUUGUGUGCAGGAAGGCCAUGGAGUAGCUGCUUGGUUCAAGGGCAUGCCGUGGCUGCUCCCUAUGUAGAGCGCGUGGCCGGAGGAGCUGACCCUCCUCACGCAGCCAGGCCAGAUGCAGCGAUGGGUAUGAUUCAUGGCUGCCUACUACUGCCCUCCCUCCCUCCCUCUCCCACUCAGAUGUGAGUUGGAUUCACCUUGCAACUGUACAGGCAGUAUGAACUGCAAGUAAAAUUGAUGGUUCAACUUAAAUUUGACCAAAACUGCAACAUCCUCCAUCAUCCCCCUUUGGAUGUUCAGCAUACAGAGAGUUCAUUGGCACACGGAUUGCUGAAUUUGAAUAUCGUCAUUGUAAUCAACUUUAUGUAGCAAAUUUAAUCGUCCCUGUUAUGUUACCCUACAACACCCUCAUUGUUGUCAUGUUACCUUGCAAAGUCCUCUCAUUUUAGUCCCAACGUCUCUUCAUAGUGAUUUAACUGACAGAUAUUUGAGCUGGGCUUUUUACUAUACUUCUGGUAGCUGGUUCUUUUCACCAAUUUUCAUCAGGUCUGUACUCUGAGGGUUACUUUCAUUUGCGUUGAAAGCUAUGUGGGUCAUUUGUCACGGCCACAGAUGCGGCCCCGGAGCUGUCGGGUUAAGGUAGAGGCCUGAGUAGCCGACAUCUACUGCGUCCUCUUCGACGCCGUGCCCAACGCCAAGUCUGCCAUGAUAGUUUCAUGGAGGUUGAUUCGCCUGUGACAGAUUACGCUCUGUACCAGUUCGGCACCAGCGGCGCCGUCGUCGCCGUCGCCACCACUGUUACGCAUCCGCUCGGUCAGUCAAUUGCGUAGGGUUUUUAAAAAAGGUUGUCCAUCUUGAACCGUAAUCUGUUCGACAGUGUUUUUCUAAUUCCCUAGGAAAUUAUUAGUCAUUUUUGUGUUUGGAGAUACACUGUUAAGGUGACUAAUAAACUUUCCUCCUUUUACAAUGUACAGUUCAUAUAUAAGUUCAUAUAUUGUUUUGUUCACAUGUAUAUGAGAUACAUGGUUAUGCCUAAUACCUGAAACAUAUGAACUGAGAGCCGUUCUUUUCUUCCUGGACAUGUUGUUAUCUAUUUCCUUUGGUAUGGCAUCUCCUUUUAUAUUAUUUAACAAAAUUCUUUGCUACCAGUGAAAUAUAUAUUAUUGUGCUGCUGAUCUAUUUACUUGAUUGGCUCUUUGAUGGACGUCUCCUUCACAUGUGUCUUUCUUCUACCUUUUUUGCUGACCGGUUGUUCUCGCUACUCCUUUUCAGUUCUUCAUGUGUACAGGAAGAAUAGGAAGCAAAAAAGGGAGGUGAGGAGGACUUGUGUACACAUGAUUAGGUGGUUAUGCUGGUUUUAUCUUUUGAUUGGUUGUUAGCCCCCUACAAGAGUUGCCACAAUAUGAAAAGGCUCCAAAAGGUGUCACGGUCAGGAAUCUUUUUUCCAGGCAUCCAGUGAUGAUCAGGUAACCAAACCAUAUCACAAGAUGUGUGUUUGUGUGAUCUGGCAAAGUAAUGCUCUUCUUUUAUGAGGGCCACAAUACCAAUUGGGCAGACUUUGUCAAGGCGGCAGGAAUAGAAGAAUAACAUAUACUCAGAUAAGGAUCUUCGCCUUCAAGAUUAUAAGGGGAAAUUAUUGCUCACUGUCCUGUCCAUAUGCUUUAGAAGGAAAUCACAAGUGUAUUUUCUAUACAAAACCAUCAUGUGGUCAUCUAUAUUACAAACUAUUCAGACCAGAUUCAUAUGGAAUGGCACUCAUGGCGGUAGUUGAACCAAAGCUAUCUAUCAGUACGCCUAACUAUGGCUUUGUAGUUUUAGCGCAUCCACUGCCACUAUGUUGGCAUUUGCUCUCUAAUGUUCCUGCUUGUACUACUGAACUUAAUGUCAACUAAUUAGCUUUUGCAAUCUCAUGGCUGCAUUGAACUUGAUGUUGCCUUA